CAGGACGGCCACAUAUUUUAUUUUUGAAAAUUAUAUUAUUGAAGUGACAGUAGUUUAUAACAUUGUGAAAUUUCAGCAUUUUCCAAACUGCUGAUAAAUCCCAACAGCUGAAGACCAACAAGAACCAAUCUAGAGUCCAAAGAAGUUAUUAUUAACUUGCUGCAACAAGGAAGAAUACCCCUACAGAAACCAUAAAGUACCUCACCAAAUAAAAGACAGCAUAAGGAUAUAAGAUGAUUUUGAAGAAGGGUGGAGUUUAGGUAUUGCCAAAGCGUCAUCAGGGUUUAGUUCUUGCUGCUAUGCUGCCCCAGGGUGCUAAAAUGUGAAUGAUGUAUAAUAUCCCUAUGGAUGCGAUCAGUCUAAUCAAAGCGGCCCUGGAGCCUAGGUUUCACUUCUUUGAGUUUAGCGAGUCCAGCUCUUACUGCCAAGCACAACUUCCUCAGCACACAGCAAAGAUUUGAGAUACACUGCUUCUAUGUUUAGCUUCCCAUUUCCCUGCAUCUCCUGAAUCUCAGAAGAAGCCAAGUGCUGUUGUUCCUAUUAGCCUAAUUGCUGUAUCCUUUCUGCAGACACUGACCCCUCCUUCUGGGUGACUUAGGCUACCCUGUUGCUACAUACUGUUUUCUGUGAAGCCAUGGACUGCAUCUUAGUUGAUUCUCACCUAGUCAACUCUGCACCAGAAGAACAGGAGUAGCCACAUCCAUUCAGCUGCUUAAAAAGGGAGGAAAUUUUAAUUAUUUUCGUUGAUCUGUGCCCUACUUUGUCUUCUUCAAUCAUAUUUUUACUCUUAAUCAGAAAUAUAUUUUCCUUUCCUAAUGAAUAUUCCAAUGAGCUCUGGAGAUCUGGUGUUCCAUGUAUGGUGCAUUCCUGAGCUCCUGUCAUAUUAAAUUUGCAUACCCAUUCAUACCUAUGUAGCAUUACUUGCUUAACUGAGGAAGGAGUAGGUAAGGAGUGAGCAUAAUAUGCCACUGAUGUUUCAUUGUUUGUAUUUUUUUUUUUCUAAUGAGGCUUGUAAACUAUUUUAUUCAUUUAGAAAAAAAGAAGAAAAACUGGCCUAAGAAACUUAGUGUUGAAAAAAAGGAAAAGAGAGCACAUAGAGUACACAGCAAUAGUGCAAAUCAAAAAGUGCGUACACAUUUUAUGAGAAAAACAAAAGAAUAGAAAGAACAGACUGGUGGUUACCAGAGGGAGGGGGAGGAGGAUGGGAAAAUGGGUGAAGGCUAUCAAAAGACACAAACUUCCAGUUAGAAGGUUAAUAAGUUCUAGGAAUAUAAUGUACAGCAUGGUGACUAGAGUUAAGAAUACUAUACUGUAUAUUCGAAAGUACCUAAGAGAGCAGAUUUUAAAAGUUCUCACCACACACAAAAAAAAUGUAUAACUAUGUGAGGAGAUGGAUACGUUAACUUAUUGUGGCAAUAAUUUGGCAAUAUAUACAUAUAUAAAAU
rnacentral:lncRNA from 1 species